rnacentral:rRNA from 1 species
UGGGGAAUAUUGGACAAUGGGCGCAAGCCUGAUCCAGCCAUCCCGCGUGAAGGACGACGGCCCUAUGGGUUGUAAACUGCUUUUAUACGGGAAUAAACCUACUUUCGUGUAAGUAGCUGAAUGUACUGUAAGAAUAAGGAUCGGCUAACUCCGUGC